rnacentral:rRNA from 1 species
UACGGGGGGAGCAAGCGUUGUUCGGAUUUACUGGGCGUAAAGGGCGCGUAGGCGGUUCGCUAAGUUGGAUGUGAAAACUCUGGGCUCAACCCAGAGCCUGCAUCCAAAACUGGCGGGCUAGAGUUCUGGAGGGGGUAGCGGAAUUCCUGGUGUAGCGGUGAAAUGCGUAGAUAUCAGGAGGAACACCAAUUGCGAAGGCAGCUCGCUGGGACGUAACUGACGCUGAGACGCGAAAGCGUGGGGAGCAAACAGG